AAGCAUAUAACUAAGCGGAGGAAAAGAAACUAACCAGGAUUGUCCUAGUAAGGGCGACUGAAGCGACAAAAGCUCACCAUGUGAAUCUGCGUCAGCUGAAUUGUGGUCUCACUUGCGUUAUUGACCGGGCCAAGUCCGUUGGAACACGGCAGCUGAGAGGGUGACACUCCCGUUUGCCUGGUCACUAGAGCAAGUGUCUUUGAGUCGAGUUGUUUGGGAUUGCAGCUCUAAGUGGGUGGUAAAUUCCAUCGAAAGCUAAAUACUGGUGGGAGACCGAUAGCGUACAAGUACCGUGAGGGAAAGAUGCAAAGAAGCGCGAAAGCGCUGUUAAAGAGUACCUGAACUUGCUGAAACGGAAGCGAAGGAAACCAGUGCCAGCUGAGUCAUACUUCCCCAACUGCUUGCGGGUGGGGCGCUGUGGCCAGCGUUGUCAACUUUGGUUCAGUGGUGCAGAGGAGUUUGGGGGGAGUUGAUCCUCACUGCGUGUGCGCCUUGGGACUGAUGUAGACAAAAUGGUUUCCUUUUUCCC
rnacentral:rRNA from 2 species